AGAUUCAACUGUCCCAGCUGCAGACACUUUUGGGAGUCUGCUCGAGUCUCUCUCACUUUUCAUUAUCGACUUGUUGCAUCUUCAAGUGGAGAAGUCCGUCUGAGACUCUUUAGGCAGAAGUGUCGAACAUGUAUACAAAAUGACAUGCUGACAGCAACAGUUAAAGGAGACAAUAAGCACGAAGUAUUGAUGAGGCUGAUAACCAAAAUAAAGAAAAACUGUUAUCGAGAGGUGAUAGACAAUGUUCCAUAUUCAGGUGCAUCGAAGAUUACUAAACCUCAUGAGACCUCUUUAUGUGAAGCUUGUAUCAUGGGCAGAUGUAACAGGGAAGCCUGAAUUAUAUACAUUUUGUUGUUGUUUUUUUAAAUAACUAUCAGCUUAGCUCUUUAUAUUCUGACAUUAUUCUGGCUUGAGCUGCAUUAUAAUAACGUCCAUUAUCGUAAGAUAUUCCCUCUCGAAGUUUAUAGUUCUAAAACCAGAAAUGCAGAGAGAGUAGAGAUCAAUAACUAUAAGAUAAGGCUAGGGACUAAUGAAAGUAUUUAGAAAAUUGGGCAGACUAGAUGGGCCGAAUGGUUCUUAUCUGCCAUCACAUUCUAUGUUUCUAUGUUAAUAAACAAUAGUGAAUAACAUGUGAAGUAGAACUAAAGCUGAUUCAGAAAUAAUGGCAAUACUAUUCGUGGAAAGAUGUAAGAAAAAGAGGUUGGAUGACGUCAAGCCAAUGAGGCAACUGGAUUAUUGAAGCAUUUCUAUUACUUGUGGAAAAUACUGCUUCAAUUCUCAGCAAUUUUCUCACAACCUCUCAUUAUCCUGAAGUGCAUUAAAUUAGUGCUGGUCACUGGGGAAAUAUGAGCAUCAAUACACCACUAUCACAACUACAAAUACAAAAAAAACAAAUACACACUUCAUUGUUAAAUAACUUGGUAGCAUUUUUGUAAUUAAGGUUACAUUGUAAUAUCUAACUUUCAAGACAAUCCUUAAAAAUUAAGGUCAUCUAAAUUAGCAAGUAUUGCCAUUUGUCUGGUUGCAUGAUAUCAUUAUUUUCAAAGUGUGACUGUUUAACAAUAUUUUGCUACAACUUUCUAGUUUUCAAAAUGCUACAGUAAAAUAUGUAACCAUGAGUGUCAUUAUGUGUACAAGAAUGCAUCUCAUAAUAAAUUAUUUGUAAAGAA